rnacentral:lncRNA from 1 species
UCCAUUUUUGUGAGGCUCCAUGGAGAAAGAUUAGAUCCCUAAUCUGACCAGGCAACAGUGAGCCCACAGCAAACCAGUGUCCCCCUUCCCUUGGGUCCAUGGCCCCUCCCCCACCCAAAACCCUGCUGGGUGCUUUGUGUUGCCGGCUUGCAGAGCAUAUGCUUGGCUGCUUGCUUUGUGUCUGCUGUUUAUCCCUCUCUUCCUACUUAACUUCUGUUUCUGCUUGGCCCAUCUGGCUCCUGUGGUACCUGCUUUUCACUCCCGUUGCGCUUCCCCUCCAAUGCGGCCUGCCCCCUAUUUACCACUUCCCUCCCAGGGCUUGGCUCUUGUCCACUCUGGGGCUGCUGGCAGGAGCUCUUGACCUGGAGUGUAGGAGCAGUGAGGGACUCCUCCAGCCUAUGGGACUGCCCAGAGGCACAGCUGGGGACCCUGACCUCGGGGUCACUGCGGUGUUCUGGAGACGCCCUUAGGGUGGGAAGUUGAGGCGGGUGGUGGAGGGCAGGUUGGGAGUGGCCUUUGGACUGGGGAGAGGGCUAGGUUCUGGUAGAAACCCUCCCCCGCCAUCUCCCCAGGUCCUUCUGAGCUUCCUUCCUACCAGAGGUGAUUCUUGGGGUCGGGUGGGGGUCACCCAAAUCAGAGUCUUGUAGAUACUGCUCUCUGUUCACGGCAGUGAUGGGAAAGUGACCUGUGAGUAGCAGCAGGAGAGGAUGAGGCCAGGGAAGGCCUGCAGUUCUGACCCAGAACCCCAGGGCACACAAGCUCCUUCCUGCUGAGAAGGGGCUGUGGCAGUCUGAUGGCUUGGGCAAAAGAGAAAAUGGUGGCAGCCUGAAGCUGCAGGAUGCUCACAGUGGGCUCAGAGGGGAGACAGAAAGGCCCUCUCCUUCACUAGCAGUGCUCUGCUGGGGGUCAGUCUCACCCCACACAUCACACUAGGCUCCACACUGCCUGAGUCAUUGCUCUGCCUCCUCCGCCCCCUCACCAGAUUGCACACUUGUGCAUACUUGCACACCCAGGUCAUGGCUCACACUCACCCCUCCAAUGUAGCCUGCUUCGUUCCUGGUGUGAUGUGGCAGCUCAUGGCUUCCUUGGGACUUGUGAGGGGGUGGUGGAGCCUGGAAGAGAAUGGAGGAGAAGAAAUGGGGCCCGACAGGGGCAGGGCUGUCAUUCAUCUGCCUCUCUGGACCUGGGUUGCUCCUCCAGGCUAAGGCUGGCUGCCGAGGAGGCAGAGCUGGGCCUGGAGUCAACAAGGAUCCACGUGCUUGGGGACCAUCGGCUGCUGCUCCCUGUAAGCAUCUGCUUCCCACGGAAACCUACAGGGCUUGGCUGCCAGGCCUCACUGCGUGCCCACUCCUCUGUGGCUCUGUUCUCUGUCUCGGUUGUUCCAUCUGCCCGCUCCACCAGCUCCUGGCACAGCUCUCUUGGCCUCGUUAUUUCUCUCCCAGAACCUUCUUCCUGCUCCUCAUUUCUUCCUGUCCUUUCUCCCUGUCUUUAUCCAGCCACAUUCAUGCCACUGUCCCUGAGGUCUUCCUCUUUUGUCUUUAUCCAUCAUUUUUCCUCUUGCUUUUCUGCUGUUUUUCUCCAUAUUCAUAUUCUCUGUCUCAUACAUAUUCAGUGGCUCCUUGAAAAUCCACCUAGAUUAUUCAAUGUGCUAGAAGCCUAGAUCUGCUUCAGGAAUAAAACUUCUUAGACUCUAACGCUAGGUCUCUGUCUCAGACACUAGUCUGGACUAAUUGCCUAGAACAUGUUGGUAGACCCACCUACCCUUCCACCCAAGUAUGCUCACUCUUUGCAAUGCCUCCUCUUCUGAUCUGGGACAAGGCAGCUGUGAGGUGUGCAGAAGCCAGACAGAUAAGCCACAGCACCUCGGUCAAGUGACACGGCAGGGGGUGCGGAGAGUCUGGGGCAAGAGUCUCCCUUUAAAGGGAUUUGAGGAGUUCAGUCCUGGAAAGAAACUUAGGACCCAACGUGUCCGAUCCUUGUGCUUGUACAAUCCUUUUACGUCCGCUCUGUUAUCCCCUUAUACCUCUCAUGGGAGGUUCAUAAAUAAGGAAACUACUGUCUUCGGACUAGAAGUUACUCCGCUGGCGCUCCCCAGCACCUGAGGAACAGAGCUGGAGUCAGAUUCUCCGCUUUGGGAUUUGCAGCCCUUGCCUGUGGCAGGUGAAUGAACAGAAGGAACUGGAAAAUGGCAGUUACAGGACAAGGAGAUGCGAGAGCUUCCCGAGGAAGCGGAGAUGAGGGAGCAGCGUUUGGAGAGGGCACAGUCUGCAGCGGGCCAGCUCGAGGACUGAGGCCCUGUCUCUGAGCUUCCCUGAUGACCCCUCCUUUGCACUCAGUCUUGCUUGGCACACCCACCUCUCUUUGCGUUUGAAGCUUCUGAGAACAAAGAAGACCAGGCAAUCUCUUCAAGAUGCCCCCCUGACUGUUUUGGCAGUGGAGUGGCCAGUGAUUCCUGCUGGGGGUCCUCUUCCUAUGGGAGCUUCCUGGGAGUCACCACCGGAAAACUAGAGCCCUGGGUCACAGAUGAGAUCCCUCUGCUUUCACACACAUGUUUUAAAAACAACGAUGCAAAGUGAUCAUCACAAUAGAUCCUGGGGUUCAGAGGAAAUUGAACUGCUGCUCUAAAACCUCGUGCUACAGGAUGCCUGGUGGUGGGGAGCACUUUUGGCCAUAAGAACCCUUAAGCCGAAAGCCCCAGACUGAGGCACGUGUUGUUUUGAGAGGUGAACAGGUCACCCCUGCAUGGUCUUAGGUCCCUCUGCUACCUGCUGGCACAUCAAUCAGAGAUGAGAUUUGCAGGCAGAGAGGUGCAAGUUCAAGUUUCAGCUUCACUACUUGAUUUGGGCAAGUGGUUUGACCUCUCUAAGCCUCAAUUUCCUAAUCUGUAAAAAGAGGACAAUACUUCACUCAGAAGGCUGCUUCAAAGAUUCACUUGAGAUAGGCACACCAUUUAAUCACCACCCAAUAAAUGGUAACAAGGAUGGUGCCUUUAGAUGAUGAUAAUGUUAAAUAGUACCUACAACUACACCAGUGAAUUGGUGGUCUUGACACUGUGGCAAGACUUUAACCAGCUUCAUUAACCUCUGACCUCAUCUGUCCCUUAGCCUCAUUUAAAUUAGACCCAGUGACCAGCAAUUCUCAAUCUCCAUCUCCAUCAGUCUCCAUCAGCCUGAGCUUCCACAGUCACAGCAUCUUCUGAAUGGUUCUACUGGAAGUGACCAGAUCCCACCUGGCUGCUGGCUCAUCUGAAACACAGCCAGUAGGUCUCCUUCCUAGGAUGAUUUCUUGGGCAAGGAGUUGAGAGCAGGAGGAGGGGCUGAGGUCCCUGGAAGAAGGAUGGGCCACUCUGUUUUGGGGCUGCUUCCUGAGAAGUUGGGCCCUCUGCUUGGGAGUUGGCUCAGACCUACGCCUGGCCUCUCAGCCUCCCAGGGAGCCUGCUCCAUGCAGGACAUGUGACCAGCCCUUUGCACUUUGUGCCCCUUGCCCACUCACAGCCAACCCUUUCACACCUCAAUUAGCCACUUAGGGAAAAGAAAGAGCGAGAGCAAGCUGGGGAAAUCUGUCCAGACCAUGAUGAAUACUUUCCCAAGCCUGCUGUUGCCAUGGCAGCCAGCUGGGAACACCGUUUCUAGGGCCUGAGGCGCUCAGACAUGCAUGGGGGGGCUGCCCUGCUGGGCUGCUGCCCACUUGCCUUCCCCCACCCUGGCCUCCUGGCUCCCUUAGCAACAGCCAUCACUAUUGCCAUCGCAACCACCACUGCAGCUCUGCACUGGCCGUGAGCAGUGUCCACGGAGCUCCAGGGGGAAGGUCUGCCUGAUCCUAAAGCUCAUGUUCCACACGGAGGAGGUUUUCAAAGGUGUUUCCCAAUCCCAAUGCUGGGGCUGGAUGUGGUGGAGCAGAAGCAGACGAGCCCUGAACUUGGUGCUGCCCCUCACCGAGUGUGGAGAAAUAAGAAAACCUGACAGGCGGAACCAGGCUUUGAUCAUGCAUUGUUGUCACAACGGAAUGGAUGCGUGACACGAAGAUGCCAAAAAAAUAAAAGGAAGAAAAUUUGACUAGGAAGAAGCACGAGGAUUAGAUUUUGCAUGGUGGCCAGAAUGCAAAGACGGGGCGAUUGACAUGAGAUGCAAAUGCACAAAAUUAGGAUGUCAUUUCUUUAACCUCAUGGACACGUAAGUCAGAGACCAUAACAUUCCCAGAUGGAGCUCCACAGCUCCGCAAGUGCCCCAGAGCUCUUGUGAUCCACAGCUGAGGGUGGCCCACCCAAGGGAGUUCAGAUUCUGCCAGAGCUCACCCUGCGAUGCUCUUUCACCAUUCCAUGUUUCGUUUGUUCCCUCCUGCCCUAAUACGGCCCC